rnacentral:rRNA from 1 species
GAUGAACGCUGGCGGCGUGCCUAAUACAUGCAAGUCGAGCGAACAGACGAGGAGCUUGCUCCGCUGACGUUAGCGGCGGACGGGUGAGUAACACGUGGAUAACCUACCUAUAAGACUGGGAUAACUUCGGGAAACCGGAGCUAAUACCGGAGAAUAUAUUGAACCGCAGGGUUGAAUAGUGAAAGACGGUGUUGCUGGAACGAAUAGAUGGAUCCGCGCCGCAUUAGCUAGUUGGUAAGGUAACGGCUUACCAAGGCAACGAUGCGUAGCCGACCUGAGGGGGUGUUCGGCCCCUCUGGAGCUGAGCCGCGGUCCAGACUCCUACGGGCGGCAGCGGUAGGGACUCUUGCGCACUGGGCGAAAGCCUGCCGGAGGAACGCCGCGUGAGUGAUGAAGCUCUUCGGGUCGUAAAACUCUGUUCUUGGUGAAGAACACAUGUGUAUGUAACGAUGCGCGUCUGGCCGGUACCUAUACAGAAGGCCCCGGCUACCUCCGU